rnacentral:rRNA from 1 species
AACGAACGCUGGCGGCGUGCCUAAUACAUGCAAGUCGAGCGAGACUUUUCGGAGUCUAGCGGCGGACGGGUGAGUAACACGUGGGCAACCUACCUGUAAGACUGGGAUAACACCGGGAAACCGGUGCUGAUACCGGAUAAUCCUUUUCCUCUCAUGAAGAAAAGCUGAUAGUCGGUUUCGGCUGACACUUACAGAUUAGCCAGCGGCGCAUUAGCUAGUUGGUGAGGUAACGGCUCACGAAGGAGACGAUGCGUAGCCGACCUGAGAGGGUGAUCGGCCACACUGGGACUGAGACACGGCCCAGACUCAUACGGGAGGCAGCAGUAGGGAAUCUUCCACAAUGGACGAAAGUCUGAUGGAGCAACGCCGCGUGAGCGAUGAAGGCCUUCGGGUCGUAAAGCUCUGUUGUUAGGGAAGAACAAGUACCGGAGUAACUGCCGGUACCUUGACGGUACCUAACCUGAAAGCCACGGCUAACUACGUGCCAGCAGCCGCGGUAAAAC